CCUACGCGAGGCUGCAGUGAGGAAUAUUGGUCAAUGGGCGGGAGCCUGAACCAGCCAAGCCGCGUGAGGGAAGAAGGUACAGCGUAUCGUAAACCUCUUUUGUCAGGGAACAAAGGCGGGGACUAGUCCCCGGAUGAGGGUACCUGAAGAAAAAGCAUCGGCUAACUCCGUGCCAGCAGCCGCGGUAAUACGGAGGAUGCGAGCGUUAUCCGGAUUUAUGGGGUUUAAAGGGUGCGCAGGCGGCCUGUUAAGUCAGCGGUAAAAGCCCGGGGCUCAACCCCGGCGAGCCGUUGAAACUGGCGGGCUGGAGUUGGAGAGAAGUACGCGGAAUGCGCGGUGUAGCGGUGAAAUGCUUAGAUAUCGCGCAGAACCCCGAUUGCGAAGGCAGCGUACCGGCUCCACACUGACGCUGAGGCACGAAAGCGUGGGUAUCGAACAGGAUUAGAUACCCCUGUAGUC
rnacentral:rRNA from 1 species